GUGGUGAGGCGAGUAUUCUAUCGAAGCCCACGCUUGGCACGUUUGCUUGUCUCCCGGGCCAUUGGAACCGUGUGAUCCAUAAGGCGCCUGAGCGCGCGUUUGGUCAGAGGGGCUCGGUCACUCGCCAGGGGAAACCCUGGGUGCGGGAGCUUCCUCUGCAUUUGGGCUGCACCUUGAUAGACUCAGAACCUACAGGGAAAGAUGACGGCUAACUCCGCCGACCUCUCAACCGGGAGAGCCCCAGAGAGGAAGCAGAUUUGUCUCCUGGACUAUCGAAGUGUCCCGGUGGCAAGCUAAGCGGAAAGCUAGUAAGUGGGCACUGUGUUGGGAGUAAGCAAUGUGGAGUCAUCUCUUCCCCCAGAGAAACGCUGACAAGUAUUAGCUCACAGACAUGUGUGCACAAAGAUGGAUGCUCACAGUUGUCCGUUGGAGCACUGUUUGAAGCAGCAAAAGGAACCAAUUCAACUUUCCCUGAGUAGGAAAAUGGCUAAAUAAAUGGUAACUUAUUCACAGAAGGGAAUAUAAUACAGCUGUUAAAAUCAUGAAAAAAGGUACAUAUUAUACCAUGAAUAAAUCUCAAAAACAUCAGUUCUAAAAAAAAGAAAGUAGCUAAAGUAUCCACCCAGCCUGAUACCAUUUACAUAGACCUUAAAGAUCCAAUACAUGCAAUAGUAUAUCUUGAUCAGGAAUUUGUAUGUGUGAAAUAAAAUUACAAAAACAUGCUGUAAGAUGGGCAUUUCCUCUGAAAAGGAAAGCAUGAGGGAAGUAUGGGGGUGAGGCUUUAUCUGGUCGGUAACAUUACUUUUUUUAAAGAAGAAAGAUGAAGCCAAAUAGACAAACUAUCAAUUUUUGCUUAAUUUUGGUGGUGGGUACUUAAGUGUCAGUUAUAUAUUUUUUUCUGCAUGAAAUAUUUUAACAUGAAAACAACAUUUAAAUAAAA
rnacentral:lncRNA from 10 species